rnacentral:snoRNA from 1 species
CUAUGAUGAUCCCCUUAGAUGACGAGUCUUAUCGGAGUUAUCCAUGCAGACACAAUCUUUUUAAUAACCAUUCAUGCUUCUCUGACA